rnacentral:rRNA from 1 species
GAUCCUGGCUCAGGAUGAACGCUAGCUACAGGCUUAACACAUGCAAGUCGAGGGGAAACGACAUCGAAAGCUUGCUUUUGAUGGGCGUCGACCGGCGCACGGGUGAGUAACGCGUAUCCAACCUGCCCACCACUUGGGGAUAACCUUGCGAAAGUAAGACUAAUACCCGAUGAUAUCCCUAGAAGACAUCUGAAAGGGAUUAAAGAUUUAUCGGUGAUGGAUGGGGAUGCGUCUGAUUAGCUUGUUGGCGGGGUAACGGCCCACCAAGGCAACGAUCAGUAGGGGUUCUGAGAGGAAGGUCCCCCACAUUGGAACUGAGACACGGUCCAAACUCCUACGGGAGGCAGCAGUGAGGAAUAUUGGUCAAUGGGCGCAAGCCUGAACCAGCCAAGUAGCGUGAGGGAAGACUGCCCUACGGGUUGUAAACUGCUUUUAUGCGGGGAUAACGUGCGCCACGUGUGGUGUAUUGCAGGUACCGCAUGAAUAAGGACCGGCUAAUUCCGUG